CUACAUUAUGGUAUGGAUAAGAAGUAUACUUAUUGGAUAUAGCAUGGAGAGGAUGAUCCGAAUAAAGUGAUGUGUGACGAUGAUGAUACUGAAGAUAAUAGUGAUGCUGCUGGACCUAUCGAAGAUAGUGGUAUAGGAGAAUUAUUAGAUGAUUUACAUCAUGAUGUUUAUUCAAAUGUACGCAUGAGUACUACUGCAUCUGAAAGUAAUUAUGAUCACAAACAUAAUAUCUGGCUUGAGGUAGAAGGGACUUCUGAACAGUUUGCAAAACUUAUAAGGGAUGCACGAG
rnacentral:lncRNA from 1 species